rnacentral:rRNA from 1 species
GUAGGGUGCGAGCGUUAAUCGGAAUUACUGGGCGUAAAGCGUGCGCAGGCGGUUGUGUAAGACAGAUGUGAAAUCCCCGGGCUUAACCUGGGAACUGCAUUUGUGACUGCACGGCUGGAGUGCGGCAGAGGGGGAUGGAAUUCCGCGUGUAGCAGUGAAAUGCGUAGAUAUGCGGAGGAACACCGAUGGCGAAGGCAAUCCCCUGGGCCUGCACUGACGCUCAUGCACGAAAGCGUGGGGAGCAAACAGGAUUAGAUACCCUGGUAGUCCACGCCCUAAACGAUGUCAACUGGUUGUUGGUCCUUCACUGGAUCAGUAACGAAGCUAACGCGUGAAGUUGACCGCCUGGGGAGUACGGCCGCAAGGUUGAA